ACGGGGCGGCAUCUACCAUGCAGUCGACGGUAAGGCCCCUUCGGGGGUACACGAGUGGCGAACGGGUGAGUAACACGUGGGUGAUCUGCCCUGCACUCUGGGAUAAGCCUGGGAAACUGGGUCUAAUACCGGAUAUGAGCUCCUGUCGCAUGGCGGGGGUUGGAAAGGUUUACUGGUGCAGGAUGGGCCCGCGGCCUAUCAGCUUGUUGGUGGGGUAAUGGCCUACCAAGGCGACGACGGGUAGCCGGCCUGAGAGGGCGACCGGCCACACUGGGACUGAGACACGGCCCAGACUCCUACGGGAGGCAGCAGUGGGGAAUAUUGCACAAUGGGCGAAAGCCUGAUGCAGCGACGCCGCGUGAGGGAUGACGGCCUUCGGGUUGUAAACCUCUUUCAGCAGGGACGAAGCGAGAGUGACGGUACCUGCAGAAGAAGCACCGGCCAACUACGUGCCAGCAGCCGCGGUAAUACGUAGGGUGCGAGCGUUGUCCGGAAUUACUGGGCGUAAAGAGCUCGUAGGCGGUUUGUCGCGUCGUCCGUGAAAACUUGGGGCUCAACCCCAAGCUUGCGGGCGAUACGGGCAGACUUGAGUACUGCAGGGGAGACUGGAAUUCCUGGUGUAGCGGUGAAAUGCGCAGAUAUCAGGAGGAACACCGGUGGCGAAAGCGGGUCUCUGGGCAGUAACUGACGUUGAGGAGCAAAAGCGGGGGUAGGUAACAUGAUUAAAUACCCUGGUAGUCCACG
rnacentral:rRNA from 1 species